CCUUCUUCUGCACGCAACCCAGCCUGUGACGUCGCUCCCAUGGCAACCGAAGAGCCUCUCGCCCGGGCCCACCUCGGAGUUUGCGGUCUAAUUUCUAAGCUGGGCCCUACGCGGAGCUCGGACCCUGGGGCUGCAGAGCCACUAUGCCCAGUGAAACGCUCUGGGAAAUUGCAAAAGCUGAAGUGGAGAAACGGGAAAGUAACGGAAGUGAAGGUGAUGGAGCUGAAAUUGGAGAAAAAUCCGUUUUCUUCAUUGGCAGUAAAAAUGGGGGCAAGACUACUAUUAUUCUAAGAUCUCUUGACAGGGAUGAGCCACCAAAACCAACCUUAGCCUUGGAAUAUACAUAUGGAAGAAAAGCUAAAGGGCAUAACACGCCAAAAGAUAUUGCUCACUUUUGGGAACUAGGUGGAGGAACCUCUUUAUUGGACUUAAUCAGCAUACCAAUCACAAGUGACGCCUUAAGGACAUUUUCUAUUGUUCUUGUUUUGGAUCUUUCAAAGCCUAAUGACCUUUGGCCCACCAUGGAAAAUCUGUUGCAAGCCACAAAAAGCCAUGUAGAUAAAGUGAUAAUGAAACUGGGAAAGACAGAUUCUACAGCAGCUUCUGAAAUGAGACAGAAGAUACGGAGUAACAUGCAGAAGGACCAUCCAGAUCGUGAAUUAAUUGACCCAUUUCCAAUACCUCUGGUCAUAAUUGGAAGUAAAUAUGAUAUUUUUCAGGAUUUUGACUCUGAGAAGAGAAAGGUAAUAUGCAAGACACUUCGAUUUGUUGCACAUUAUUAUGGAGCAUCAUUAAUGUUUACAAGUAAAUCAGAAGCUCUAUUACUAAAAAUACGUGGAGUUAUCAAUCAGUUAGCAUUUGGUAUUGGCAAAAGCAAAUCAAUAUGUGUGGAUCAGAAUAAACCACUGUUUAUCACAGCAGGAUUGGAUUCUUUAAGUAAUAUAGGGUCUCCUCCUGUUCCUGAUAAUGACAUUGGGAAGUUUCAUGCCCGUUCGCCAAUGGAGUUGUGGAAAAAAGUGUAUGAAAAGCUCUUUCCACCAAAGAGUAUCGACACACUAAAAGAUAUCAAGGACCCUGCAAAAGACCCCCAGUAUGCUGAAAGUGAAGUUGAUGAAAUGAGAAUUCAGAAGGAUCAGGAACUGGAACAGUACAAAAAAAGUUCUUCCAAGUCUUGGAAACAAAUUGAGCUGGAUUCUUGAACCUAACUCAGCUACAGUGUAUUUAUUUCCCAAAUACUGGUACAACUCAUGAACUCCCAGUGUGUAACCCUAUUCUUCUGAGUGUAAAUGUUGUGUCCGUUGAGCAUCUUGUCUACAUGGACUUUCAAUAAUAGCUGCUCCCCAACCUUGAAGAUGUCAUUUCUCAGUGCAAACACUUUAUCUAAUAAUAUUUACUUUUAAUUGUAUAAGUAAACUAAGCGGAAGUGAAAAUAGCCAGCUAAUCUUUAAAAACAUUACAAGAGGUGUGCCUGAUGUGCUGUGUUCUCAGUUCAGCCAUUCCUGCAGUUUCUCAUUGUAACCCUCCAUAAAAUCACUGAGUGCUCUGGACCAGUGGUCUUCAUCCAGCAUCUGUCCACCAUCCUCUCGAUGUCAUCAGCAAAGAAAACAAAUAGUACAGUCUCCAUAACUUUAUGAAGUAUUAUUAUCUACAUUUUGGACUGGCUUAGUCACAAUUUCUAAAUACCACAUGUCCCUACAACUUGGAAUAGCAUUCAAGCCCUCAUGGAUCCAAGAGCACAAAAGGAGUCUUAAUGGUUUAAAAGACUUCAGAUGUACUGUCAAGACAGAAACAGGAGGCAUUCUUAUUUCAGACAUUCAAUACAGCCAGGCACCUCUAGGAGCU